GACCAUUUUCCCUGCUCUUCGGCUGUCCAGUUUCGGUGAGCUCACGCCCGGUGUGGCCUCUGGUCUCCUUUCAGCUGAGAGAAGUGGAAGCUCCAUGUGGUCUUCUGCUGUUGUAGCUUAUCGACCUCAAGGUGUUUUGGAGGUGGGGUGUAGCUCGGCAUAGACCCCAUAAACAACCUGCCUGGAAGGUCAUGAGUACACAUUCCUUGGAUACCAGAAAAAUCAUCAGCAUUGCACCCUUGACCUGUUUUAACCCCAGUUACCUCAGGGAUGCCGUGAGGUGACUAUGUGAUGCUCACUUGUACGCUAUUCUGGACAAAACUGUCUGCUAAAUAUGGCAUUCCUCUAAAGGUUGCUGACCUUGAAGCCCAGCCAGAUGUUACCAUAAUCAGCAUCACGAGUGUCCCCACUUACCCAACUGGAAGCUGGGGUCUGUGGGCUUAACCAUGGUGGAUCUCAAAGCUCAAAGAUGUCAAUGUGAUCUGAUGAAUAAGUCCAGGAGAAGAACAACAGUAUGAAAAUGGGAAAGGGGGCAGUAACGGACAAUAGCGUACUGGGAGCAGGUACUGGGAAAAGCACAUACUGGUGUGCCCUAAGCAGACAGCCUUUAGGGACAGCAGAGGUGCAUGUGGGUCGAGUCACUGUCUCCAACAGAAAACUACAUGUUGAUUUGCCAAAAUGAGAUUUAAAAGUGCAAUUUUCACAUGUUUGGGCACCCUGUCAGUAAGGACUUUAACGCCUUUGGAGGAAAUGGCUUCGAAACAUUUCUUGUAGCCAGCUUAGUGUUUUCCUUUCUUGCUUUAGGACUCAAGAUAAAUAUUCUUAGGUCUUGUAUGUGCUGUUUUCAUAAUCAGUCUGGGUUCUGACAUCCAUUUUGAAAGCUUAAAGUAUUGUGGUCGUCGUGUU